rnacentral:rRNA from 1 species
GCUUACGGCCACACCGUCUGGUAUACGCUUGAUCUCGGAAGAUAAGGUAGGUUGGGCCUGGUUAGUACUUGGAUGGGGACCGCCUGGGAAUACCAGGUGCUGUAAGCU